UGGAUCCAGACUUUGAUUAUGGCUCAGGAUGAACGCUAGCUACAGGCUUAACACAUGCAAGUCGAGGGGCAGCAUGACCUAGCAAUAGGUUGAUGGCGACCGGCGCACGGGUGAGUAACACGUAUCCAACCUGCCGAUUAUUCCGGGAUAGCCUUUCGAAAGAAAGAUUAAUACUGGAUAGCAUAACGAGAAGGCAUCUUCUUGUUAUUAAAGAACUUCGAUAAUCGAUGGGGAUGCGUUCCAUUAGUUUGUUGGCGGGGUAACGGCCCACCAAGACAUCGAUGGAUAGGGGUUCUGAGAGGAGGGUCCCCCACAUUGGAACUGAGACACGGUCCAAACUCCUACGGGAGGCAGCAGUGAGGAAUAUUGGUCAAUGGACGAGAGUCUGAACCAGCCAAGUAGCGUGAAGGAUGACUGCCCUAUGGGUUGUAAACUUCUUUUAUAUGGGAAUAAAGUGGGCCACGUGUGGCUUUUUGUAUGUACCAUACGAAUAAGGAUCGGCUAACUCCGUGCCAGCAGCCGCGGUAAUACGGAGGAUCCAAGCGUUAUCCGGAUUUAUUGGGUUUAAAGGGAGCGUAGGCGGAUUAUUAAGUCAGUUGUGAAAGUUUGCGGCUCAACCGUAAAAUUGCAGUUGAUACUGGUAGUCUUGAGUGCAGCAGAGGUAGGCGGAAUUCGUGGUGUGGCGGUGAAAUGCUUAGAUAUCACGAAGAACUCCGAUUGCGAAGGCAGCUUACUGGACUGUAACUGACGCUGAUGCUCGAAAGUGUGGGUAUCAAACAGGAUUAGAUACCCUGGUAGUCCACACAGUAAACGAUGAAUACUCGCUGUUUGCGAUAUACGGCAAGCGGCCAAGCGAAAGCAUUAAGUAUUCCACCUGGGGAGUACGCCGGCAACGGUGCAACUCAAAGGAAUUGACGGA
rnacentral:rRNA from 1 species